AUGUAGCAAUACAUGGCGAACUGCUCAGUAACACGAGGACAACCUGCCCUUAGGUUGGGUAUAAACCCGGGAAACUGGGUAUAAUACCCGAUAGGUCUCGAUUGCUGGAAUGCAUCGAGAUUUAAAGCUCCGGCGCCUAAGGAUGGGUCUGCGGCCUAUCAGGUAGUAGUGGGUGUAGCGUACCUACUAGCCUACGACGGGUACGGGUUGUGAGAGCAAGAGCCCGGAGAUGGAUUCUGAGACACGAAUCCAGGCCCUACGGGGUGCAGCAGGCGCGAAAACUUUACAAUGCUGGCAACAGCGAUAAGGGAACCUCGAGUGCCAGGUUACAAAUCUGGCUGUCGAGAUGCCUAAAAAGCAUUUCAUAGCAAGGGCCGGGCAAGACCGGCGCCAGCCGCC
rnacentral:rRNA from 1 species